rnacentral:rRNA from 1 species
UACGUAGGGGGCUAGCGUUGUCCGGAAUCAUUGGGCGUAAAGCGCGCGCAGGCGGCUUGGCGCGCCCGACGUGAAAGCCCCCGGCUUAACCGGGGAGGGUCGUCGGGUACGGUCAGGCUUGAGGGCGGGAGAGGGUGGUGGAAUUCCCGGUGUAGUGGUGAAAUGCGUAGAGAUCGGGAGGAACACCUGUGGCGAAGGCGGCCACCUGGGCCGACCCUGACGCUGAGGCGCGAAGGCGUGGGGAGCGAACGGG